UACGUAGGGGGGCAAGCGUUGUCCGGAUUUAUUGGGCGUAAAGAGCGUGUAGGCGGCCAUGUAGGUCCGUUGUGAAAACUCGAGGCUCAACCUCGAGACGCCGAUGGAAACCAUGUGGCUAGAGUCCGGAAGAGGAGAGUGGAAUUCCUGGUGUAGCGGUGAAUGCGCAGAUAUCAGGAAGAACACCGUGGCUAAGGCGGCUCUCUAGUACGGUACUGACGCUGAGACGCGAAGCGUGGAGCGAACAGG
rnacentral:rRNA from 1 species